GUAAGAAAUUUCUAGGUCCCCAUAAACUGAUAAAAACUCAAAGAAUGGGUAGAUUUACGUUUUAUUGUUGCGUGCAUUAUAAAGAAGAUCCCAUCUAACGAAUUUUAUAAAAUGGUUCUGAAUUCUGUUAAAUUGGGUGUGUUGUGUAAACUAUGAAUAACUCUUCCGAGACUGAAGAAAAAUGGAAUUUUUUAGCUGUCUGCAACUCUUUGGUGUCAUAUUCAUAUUUUUUUUAUUUCUUCUUUGAAUAUUUUUUUCAAGAACUGUUUAUCACUCAUAUUGAAUUAAAGAAUAAUGGUGAAUACCAUUUCGGCUGCAGCCUCAAAUUUUAAAUACGGGAGAUGUCUGGAUUGGCGGAAGAAACGGUACUGAAGUAAUUUCGACAACUUAGGACCAUUAUGGAUGCAUUUUUUCUUGGAUAAAAGUGUGCCGUCACCAUCAGUAAUACGGCUUUCUCGGUUCCGUAUACAAGCCAUCAAUACUCGCCAAUUUUCUAAAGAUAAUU